UACGUAGGGGGCAAGCGUUGUCCGGAUUUAUUGGGCGUAAAGCGCUCGCAGGUGGUUCGAUGCGUCGUGCGUGAAAGACCCCGGCUCAACUGGGGGGGUGUCGUGCGAUACGGUCGGACUGGAGGCCAGUAGGGGGAUGCGGAAUUCCGGGUGUAGUGGUGGAAUGCGUAGAGAUCCGGAGGAACACCAGCGGCGAAGGCGGCAUCCUGGACUGGUCCUGACACUCAUGAGCGAAAGCGUGGGGAGCGAACAGG
rnacentral:rRNA from 1 species